ensembl:lncRNA
GUCAUGAGGUCGAGUGGUGAAGUCAUGAGGUAGAGUGGUGAAAUAAAGAGGUCAUGAGGUCGAGUGGUGAAGUCAUGAGGUCAAGUGGUGAAGUCAUGAGGUCAUGACUUGUUAAGAAACACACUGAUACUGAUAUUUAUUUAAUCGACACCUUUCCACGUAACCGUUUCCUACAUUACCAGAGUGCACUAGAAUUUAUCCCGUUUCUGUUCCUCCAUCUCCGCCUAACGACAGCGAUGCUCUAAUUCUUCCGAAGCUUCAUUUCUCCCACUAACACCUCCAUCAACACCGUCGCGCUCGCCAUCUCGUAGAUCGCUAGCUAGCCGAGCCGAGUCUCAACCUCGGCUGCGUCGUAUAGCCGCAUUGCAUUCUGGGACAUCUGGACUGGAUUUAUCAUUUAAUCAGUGUAAUGUCGCCGGAUAAAAGAAGUUUUAUGUUUAACAGUGAAACCUGAUCGUCCUGUUACUUUUGUUUAUUUUAAACAUUUCUAUUCCUCUCUGAAACGUCAUCGUAACUGCGUUACCAAUAACCACACCGUCUUGUGACGUCGCACGGGACGCGGCCACUCACUCCUCACAGGGAUAACGAAAGCGCAGCGGCGAGUUUUCCUUUAACGCGCUCGAGACACUUUCUCUCUCGAGCUCUCGCUCGCUCACUCUCUCCUUAUUCUCUCUUUUUCCUGUCUGCUCUGUCUCUGAUCUCCUUCUGAUCGUCCACGCCGUCUCUCACUCAUAAACACACACUCGUGCUGUUUCUCUCCGUGCUGUCUUUCUCUCCCCACACACACAGCGUUUAUUUCCACACCUUCCGCACUCACUCUCUUUUCUUUUCUUUUUUCUCCCUCAGCUUAUUUUUGCAGCUCUGAAGCAAUAAUCAGAGGCAUUGUGUCUGACACACAGCUCAUUACAGGCCUCUCUCAUGCCCCAUCUACGGCAGACUCUCGCAGCAGCGCUGCCUUUAUGCUAAAACAGCUCCUGCGUGACGCGGAGAAUGAAUAUCGCGCCCACACCGUCCACGCCGGACGCUUUCAUUAUCCGGAGAACAUAGUGCCGCGGUCAUUACCGGCUUCUGAGUAGCAUUCGGGUAAAAUCUAACCUGAUGCUGUUGAGUAGAGAAGCCUCAGUGCUUUUUAUAUUGUUAUGAUGUUAUUUUAUAACAUGCGCGUGAUGCGAUCGGAGCGGUGUAGGCGUCUCGGCAGGUCACCGACGGACGGCUCUAACGCUUAUCUUCCUGGAAGAAAUGAACGCAAACUUGCGAUUAGUCGUCACCGAUUCGCGUGCGCCGAACGCGAGUACAGCUAAAAGGUCUCAUUUACCGACAAACAUCGCUGCGAAAGAGCGCGCAGAACAAUUCCGUACAAUUGCGAUUUCGCCGAUUCGAGUAGUUUUCCUUAAAAAAAAAAAAAACUUUGGGAAAAAGUUUGCGCGAGUUCGAAAAAAGCCGCGGCAAAAUAAACAAACAAACAAACAAAUAAAUAAAUAAAUAAGCAUUUUUGGCCGCAACGAUCACAAAAAAAAAAAAACCUCCAGUACGGACCGCUAUUAGAACGAGCGCAUUAAUACAAACCCGUGCCUGUCGCAGCUGCUGUUAUAGAAAAUGAAUCAACGCCUUCUGACCAAUCAGAAUCCAGAAUUUGU